CCUACGGGAGGCAGCAGUGGGGAAUAUUGGACAAUGGGCGAAAGCCUGAUCCAGCAAUGCCGCGUGAGUGAUGAAGGCCUUCGGGUCGUAAAGCUCUUUUACCAGGGAUGAUAAUGACAGUACCUGGAGAAUAAGCUCCGGCUAACUCCGUGCCAGCAGCCGCGGUAAUACGGAGGGAGCUAGCGUUGUUCGGAAUUACUGGGCGUAAAGAGUACGUAGGCGGUUAUUCAAGUCAGAGGUGAAAGCCCGGGGCUCAACCCCGGAACUGCCUUUGAAACUAGAUAACUAGAGUCUUGGAGAGGUUAGUGGAAUUCCGAGUGUAGAGGUGAAAUUCGUAGAUAUUCGGAAGAACACCAGUGGCGAAGGCGACUAACUGGACAAGUACUGACGCUGAGGUACGAAAGCGUGGGGAGCAAACAGGAUUAGAUACCCUGGUAGUCCACGCCGUAAACGAUGAUAACUAGUUGUUCGGUCACUUGGUGACUGAGUGACGCAGCUAACGCAUUAAGUUAUCCGCCUGGGGAGUACGGUCGCAAGNUUAAAACUCAAAGGAAUUGACGGCUGAGAGNGCGAGACGACACGAGGAGAG
rnacentral:rRNA from 1 species